GUCCAAAGCCUUUAAUCUCAUCUGUAAUUCUUCUAAACUUAGAUUCUUCAAAAAAUCAAAAUCUCCAUCUUGAGGGACUUUCCAGUUAUCGGGGAAAACAUUUUUAGAUAUGUGGUAAGGUUCGUGCAUGUUCUGAUUACAGUUUUCAGGGCUUUUAUUCUUAGAAUCCUGUUUAUCAAAGUAGUCCAUGAAAGAAGGUCUUUGAACUUGAGGUGAAGUAGCAUUUCUUUUCAUGGUCCCAUCUUCCUCUUCGUCAUCGUCACUAUUUAUUACCAUGGUCCCCAGGUCUGACUCUAGCAUGGUACUGUUGUGUUCAAUCAUUGUCUGAGCACCUUCACUCAUUGUGCUUGUGGCCCGCAUGGUACUAGCACUCUCUGAAUUGGUCUUCACCAUGGUGUGCGAGUCCAGCUCAUCUUCAUCCGAAUUUUCCUCCUCUUCUUCUAGUUCCCUCUGCUGCUCCUCAUGUCGUUUUGCC
rnacentral:lncRNA from 1 species